CCUACGGGAGGCAGCAGUGGGGGAUAUUGCACAAUGGGGGGAACCCUGAUGCAGCGACGCCGCGUGGGUGAAGAAGCGCCUCGGCGCGUAAAGCCCUGUCAGCAGGGAAGAAAAUGACGGUACCUGAAGCAGAAGCCCCGGCUAACUACGUGCCAGCAGCCGCGGUAAUACGUAGGGGGCAAGCGUUAUCCGGAUUUACUGGGUGUAAAGGGGGCGCAGACGGGGGUGCAAGCCAGGGGGGAAAGCCCGGGGCCCAACCCCGGGACUGCUCUUGGAACUGCGUGGCUGGAGUGCAGGAGGGGCAGGCGGAAUGCCUGGUGUAGCGGUGAAAUGCGUAGAUAUCAGGAGGAACACCGGUGGCGAAGGCGGCCUGCUGGACUGCAACUGACGUUGAGGCCCGAAAGCGUGGGGAGCAAACAGGAUUAGAUACCCCAGUAGUC
rnacentral:rRNA from 1 species